rnacentral:rRNA from 1 species
ACGACCGUACCGCAAACCGACACUGGUGCGCGAGAUGAGUAUUCUAAGGCGCUUGAGAGAACUCAGGAGAAGGAACUCGGCAAAUUGACACCGUAACUUCGGAAGAAGGUGUGCCUUUAGUAGGUGAACCAUUUACUUGGGGAGCCCAAUGAGGCUGCAAAAAAUCGGUGGCUGCAACUGUUUAUUAAAAACACAGCACUCUGCUAAGACGAAAGUCGACGUAUAGGGUGUGACGCCUGCCCGGUGCUGGAAGAUUAAAUGAUGGGGUGCAAGCUCUUGAUUGAAGUCCCAGUAAACGGCGGCCGUAACAAUAACGGUCCUAAGGUAGCGAAAUUCCUUGUCGGGUAAGUUCCGACCUGCACGAAUGGCGUAAUGAUGGCCACACUGUCUCCUCCUGAGACUCAGCGAAGUUGAAAUGUUUGUGAUGAUGCAAUCUCCCCGCGGAAAGACGGAAAGACCCCAUGAACCUUUACUGUAGCUUUGUAUUGGACUUUGAACAGAUCUGUGUAGGAUAGGUGGGAGGCUUUGAAGUGUGGUCGCUAGAUCGCAUGGAGCCAACGUUGAAAUACCACCCUGGUGUGUUUGAGGUUCUAACCUAGGUCCAUUAUCUGGAUCGGGGACAGUGCAUGGUAGGCAGUUUGACUGGGGCGGUCUCCUCCCAAAGUGUAACGGAGGAGUUCGAAGGUACGCUAGGUACGGUCGGACAUCGUGCUAAUAGUGCAAUGGCAUAAGCGUGCUUAACUGCGAGACUGACAAGUCGAGCAGAUGCGAAAGCAGGACAUAGUGAUCCGGUGGUUCUGUAUGGAAGGGCCAUCGCUCAACGGAUAAAAGGUACUCUGGGGAUAACAGGCUGAUACCGCCCAAGAGUUCAUAUCGACGGCGGUGUUUGGCACCUCGAUGUCGGCUCAUCUCAUCCUGGGGCUGUAGCCGGUCCCAAGGGUAUGGCUGUUCGCCAUUUAAAGAGUUACGUGAGCUGGGUUUAAAACGUCGUGAGACAGUUUGGUCCCUAUCUUCCGUGGGCGCUGCAGAUUUGAGGAAGCCUGCUCCUAGUACGAGAGGACCGGAGUGGACGAACCUCUGGUGUAUCGGUUGUCACGCCAGUGGCAUUGCCGAGUAGCUAAGUUCGGAAGAGAUAACCGCUGAAAGCAUCUAAGCGGGAAACUCGUUUCAAGAUUAGAUCUGCCGGGGCCUUGAGCCCCCUAAAGAGUCGUUCAAGACCAGGACGUUGAUAGGUCAGGUGUGGAAGC